CGCGGAACUUUCACUUUCCGCGAAAAACCAAUGCCAGCAUGGCCAUAAAACACUACAUACAAAUCGAAAUCUAAAAAGCGCGGAACUUUCAUAUAUUUUCCGUCGGAGCAAUUAUUUUUCAACUCUGUAGAAAAAGCGGGCUCAAUUAAUCGCGCGGAACCUUAUUUAUCUACUCUGUACAAAUAGUAGUGUUUAAAAUCGCGCGGAGAUUGUAGAAUGCUAUUUUAAGAAGUCUAUUAAAGAGAGAAAAUCCAGUAAAUACCAGAUCCAAAAAGCGCGGACCACAAAUAUCGUCCGCGAAAAUUAAGCAUUGAAUUACUGUACAAAUCUCGGGUUGUUAGGUGUUAGAAUCCCUAGUUACCCGAAAAAUUUGAUUGGAUCCGAUACUUAGAAAUAACCAAUCAGAUACUUUGUAACAAAUGCAACACAAUCAGUGCGUUCAGUGUGUGUUGCCAGUAAUGGUUCAAGAUAUGCCAAACAAAUUGUGCCUCUCUAUACAGACAGAUUUCAGGUCUCAAUUUCAACUUCAAAGGUCAACAUAUCACUGAUAUCAGGAAUUCUGUGAAACUGUGGCACCAUGUAUGGUACGUGAGCGCACAAUGUCUGUUGGAAAAAGGAUAUUGGAAUAACCAAAGGGACUCAACAUUACACAGUCAUUUCAACAUGUAGAGUCUUGUCAGCAAUGAUGGAGCAGUACAUCAGAUUUCCAGAAUCUCGUCAUGAGCUGAAGAUCAUUGCCUAUGGAUUUCAUGAAUGAUGUAGAAUGAUUGGACUGUUGAUGGAACCCACAGUGCAUGUCCUGCUUCAACAUCUGAGCAUAGGUCCUUGUUUAUCAGCAGUUUAGUUCUUCAAGCAGUCUGUGACAGUAACUUGAAAUGUUUGGACAUAUGCCCUGGAUGGCCAAGUUCUGUGCAUGAUGCCCAUUUAAAUAGGAACGGCCCGGUGGCGCAUUAAAUGGACAAUUUUUCGAAUGUUCUCGUGGAUUCAGCUUACCGCCUGACAAGAAAUCUUGCUUUUUGUUCCGUAUCGAGGCCAUGGACAUUUGUAUCAUUUGCAAAAGAUACUGCGAUAUUUGUGCCUUUGUUCAUGCUUUAUAGUUGAUUAACAAUUGGAAGCCAUAAUUAAACCUGUUUUAUAGGAUGGUGUUAGUGGGACAAUGAAUUUUGUAAAGAUUUAAAGAAUGGAAAAGAUAAUUAAAAGUCAAAAGAGUUCUGCUAUUGUUAAGCAUGCUUUAUUGAUUUGUAAUGUUAGAAAGAUAGCAUUAUAAACAGAAUAAAAUGUCCAUAAUUUGAAUAUUCUACUGUUUUCAGCAACAUUUAAUUUGAUAUAGUACAAAAUGCUGCAUCAUGUUAUAUCAUGAUCCGUUUUGUGAACAAUGACCUUUCAAUGUAUAUUCAAUAAUUUGUCAAUGGGUGUUACACGCAUAAGCCCUACCAUUAGCCCAAAAAGGAAUUGCUUAGGAGUUUUGCCACCUUCUAGAGAAAAAUACUUCUCAGAAACAAUUGCAUUUUGGAAAGUCUAUGGCUAGUAAAAUUUGGAUUCCUUUUGGAUACCCAAGGUUACCAAUUUAUGUUUAAUAAAUUUGCAAUAAAAAGCUUUGACAGAACAUAAUGUCACAGAGUCGAACACGUGUAUGGAAUAAAGUGGAAGUUGAUUAAAUGAGUAAUACACAUUA